AGUGCAGCAGAGCCAUCGUGCUCAGCAGCUUGUGCUGUCAGGGGACAGACACUAAAAUGUGGAUUAUUUUUUUUAUUGUACUUUUAAUUUUUUUUUAAGCUAGACGUGAUUCUAAUCUGGAUUAUUUUAAUGAGCUUCCUUUUGUGAACAACAACAACAGGCUCUGCUUCCUGGCCUGCCACCUCCAUCAUACCUGGCCUCUUCAGCUGCAGAACAGGAAGAAAAGGGAUUCCCAGACUCCAACCUCACUGCAGAAGCCUCGAGAGAACAGUGCCUGGAAGCUGGCAAUCUGCAGCCUCAGCACCUGGAGCAGCC